ACAUUCCCCAACAGCUAGCCCCCCUAAAAAAUUCAACAAUCGAUAUUAAUUAACCCCACAGUAAACGUAAACCCCAACAAGUAAACCAUUUUUCCCCCUGAGUACGGGAGACGGAAAAGGAAGUCUCACGGCGCAAUAGAAAAAGUACCGCAAGGGAAAGCUGAAAGAGUAAAUGAAACAACCUAGUAAAGGAAAGCAAAGCAGAGAUUAGUACUCGUACCUUUUGCAUCAUGAUUUAGCAAGUACCUCCAAGCAAAAAGACUUAUACGUUUGAGCCCCCGAAACCAGACGAGCUACUCCGAGCCAGCCUAUUAUAGGGCAAACCCGUCUCUGUGGCAAAAGGGUGGGAAGAGCUUCGAGUAGAGGUGAUAAACCUACCGAGUCUGGUUAUAGCUGGUUGCCUAAAAAUUGAAUAGAAGUUCAGCCUUUUGAAUUCUUGAACCCACAUUGGCCCCGCCUUACCCCCGGCUACAAGAUAAUCAAAAGAGUUACUCAGAAGGGGGACAGCUCUUCUGAGAAAAGACACAACUUUAUAUCUGAAGGCUAAAGAUUAUAGUAUUCAAGGAAACGUACCUAAGUGGGCCUAAAAGCAGCCAUCCCUAAAGAAAGCGUUAAAGCUCAAGUAUGCAAGCCCGACAAUUUCAACAAUCCUUAUCUUAAGCCCCUUGAAUAUAUUAGGCCUAUCCAUGCACUCAUGGAUAAGAUUAUGCUAAAAUGAGUAAUAAGAGAGCCCAGUCUCUCUCAAAUGCGCCCGUGUACAUCAGAACGAACCCCCACUGAAAAUUAACGCCCCCAAAACCAGAGGGAAAUGGGCAAAAUCCAAAAAACAAGGAGAGCCCCCACCUAAACCGGCGUUGACCCCACACAGGAGUGCUUUAUGAAAGACAAAAAGAAAGAGAAGGAACUCGGCAAACAUUAGCCUCGCCUGUUUACCAAAAACAUCGCCUCUUGCCCCACACUCAUAAGAGGUCCCGCCUGCCCUGUGACUUUAAGUUUAACGGCCGCGGUAUUUUGACCGUGCGAAGGUAGCGUAAUCACUUGUCUUUUAAAUAAAGACCUGUAUGAAUGGCAUAACGAGGGCUCAACUGUCUCCUCUCUCCAGUCAAUGAAAUUGAUCUGUCCGUGCAGAAGCGGGCAUGCUCCCAUAAGACGAGAAGACCCUAUGGAGCUUGAGACACUAGAACAGACCACGUCAAAAACCCUAGUAUCAUUAGGAAAGAACUAAACGAGUACUGUUCCCCUGUCUUUGGUUGGGGCGACCGCGGAGAAACAAGAAUCCCCCACGUGGAAUGGGCCUUGCCCUUAAAGCCAGAGCCACAGCUCUAACAAGCAGAACAUCUGACCAAAAAGAUCCGGUACCACCGAUCAACGAACCCAGUUACCCUAGGGAUAACAGCGCAAUCCCCUUCUAGAGCCCUUAUCGACAAGGGGGUUUACGACCUCGAUGUUGGAUCAGGACUUCCUAAUGGUGCAGCCGCUAUUAAGGGUUC
rnacentral:rRNA from 1 species